CAGCAGCCACGGGAAUACGAAGGGUGCAAGCGUUACUCGGAAUUACUGGGCGUAAAGCGUGCGUAGGUGGUGGUUUAAGUCCGUUGUGAAAGCCCUGGGCUCAACCUGGGAAUUGCAGUGGAUACUGGGUCACUAGAGUGUGGUAGAGGAUAGUGGAAUUUCCGGUGUAGCAGUGAAAUGCGUAGAGAUCGGAAGGAACAUCUGUGGCGAAGGCGACUAUCUGGGCCAACACUGACACUGAGGCACGAAAGCGUGGGGAGCAAACAGGAUUAGAUACCCGUGUAGUCCCUGUCUCUUAUAC
rnacentral:rRNA from 1 species